UACGUAGGGUGCGAGCGUUAAUCGGAAUUACUGGGCGUAAAGCGUGCGCAGGCGGUUUUGUAAGCCAGAUGUGAAAGCCCCGGGCUUAACCUGGGAAUGGCAUUUGGGACUGCAAGGCUUGAGUGUGGCAGAGGAGACUGGAAUUCCUGGUGUAGCAGUGAAAUGCGUAGAUAUCGGUAGGAACACCAGUGGCGAAGGCGGUCUCCUGGGGCAUUCUUGACGCUGAGGCGCGAAAGCUGGGGGAGCAAACGGG
rnacentral:rRNA from 1 species